AGCUUUGCGCAGUGGCAGUAUCGUAGCCAAUGAGGUUUAUCCGAGGCGCGAUUAUUGCUAAUUGAAAACUUUUCCCAUGAGCUCUUGAAAGAAAGUGAGCCAGCCUGCCAUAGACAAGCUAGGCCUAGGAAUCGUCCAAGCUCAUUACAAUGU
rnacentral:snRNA from 2 species